GACGAACGCUGGCGGCGUGCCUAAUACAUGCAAGUCGAACGCAUUUUCUUUCACCGUAGCUUGCUACACCGAAAGAAAAUGAGUGGCGAACGGGUGAGUAACACGUGGGUAACCUGCCCAUCAGCGGGGGAUAACACUUGGAAACAGGUGCUAAUACCGCAUAAUUCCAUUUACCGCAUGGUAGAUGGGUGAAAGGCGCUUUUGCGUCACUGAUGGAUGGACCCGCGGUGCAUUAGCUAGUUGGUGGGGUAACGGCCUACCAAGGCUGCGAUGCAUAGCCGACCGGAGAGGGUGAUCGGCCACCCGGGGACUGAAAAAAGGCCAAGACUCCUACGGGAGGCAGCAGGAGGGAAUCUUCGGAAAUGGACGAAAGUCUGACCGAGAAACGCAGCGGGAGGGAAAAAGGUUUUCGGAACGAAAAACUUUGUUGUUAGAGAAAAAAAAGGAGGAGAGGGGAAAGUUAACACCUGGGGGGUAUAAAACCAAAAAGCCACGGCUAAAUACGU
rnacentral:rRNA from 1 species